GUCUUUGGGGGUUUGAGCUUAGAAGUUGGAUCUAGCUGAGGAUGACCAUGGCUACUAAUGGCGAUCACUAAAAACUUGCCAAAAAUUGUCCAAGGGCCUCACCUCUUUCUUCUAAAAUAAUGGAACUCUAAAACAAUAAAGGUGAAACCUGAGGAUGGGAGCGCACCUAUUUGUAAAAGCUCAGACAACUCCAAUCUGAUGGUGAUUCACCUAGCCACUAUUGAUGGCUACCAAGUAGCGGCCUAAGGUUGGCCAUAGUCGACCUUACAUGGAUUAGCAUCUCUAAUGGCCC
rnacentral:lncRNA from 1 species